GACGAACGCUGGCGGCGUGCUUAACACAUGCAAGUCGAACGGAAAGGCCCUGCUUUUGUGGGGUGCUCGAGUGGCGAACGGGUGAGUAACACGUGAGUAACCUGCCCUUGACUUUGGGAUAACUUCAGGAAACUGGGGCUAAUACCGGAUAGGAGCUCCUGCUGCAUGGUGGGGGUUGGAAAGUUUCGGCGGUUGGGGAUGGACCCGCGGCUUAUCAGCUUGUUGGUGGGGUAGUGGCUUACCAAGGCUUUGACGGGUAGCCGGCCUGAGAGGGUGACCGGCCACAUUGGGACUGAGAUACGGCCCAGACUCCUACGGGAGGCAGCAGUGGGGAAUAUUGCACAAUGGGCGGAAGCCUGAUGCAGCAACGCCGCGUGCGGGAUGACGGCCUUCGGGUUGUAAACCGCUUUCGCCUGUGACGAAGUGUGAGUGACGGUAAUGGGUAAAGAAGCACCAGCUAACUACGUG
rnacentral:rRNA from 1 species